UACGUAGGGGGCAAGCGUUGUCCGGAAUCAUUGGGCGUAAAGAGCGUGUAGGCGGUUCAGUAAGUCCGCUGUGAAAGUCAAGGGCUCAACCCUUGAAUGCCGGUGGAUACUGUUGAACUAGAGUCCGGAAGAGGCGAGUGGAAUUCCUGGUGUAGCGGUGAAAUGCGCAGAUAUCAGGAGGAACACCGAUGGCGAAGGCAGCUCGCUGGGACGGUACUGACGCUGAGACGCGAAAGCGCGGGGAGCAAACAGG
rnacentral:rRNA from 1 species